CUUCAGCGAGCCGAUGAGUACGGGGCGGUCCGCCGCGCGGUCCUUCCCGUACGUGGCGAGCAGCGCGCCCGCCUC
rnacentral:antisense_RNA from 1 species